UUGUGCCAGCAGCCGCGGUAAUACGAAGGGGGCUAGCGUUGCUCGGAAUCACUGGGCGUAAAGGGCGCGUAGGCGGCCAUUUAAGUCNGGGGGUGAAAGCCUGUGGCUCAACCACAGAAUUGCCUUCGAUACUGGGUGGCUUGAGUCCGGAAGAGGUUGGUGGAACUGCGAGUGUAGAGGUGAAAUUCGUAGAUAUUCGCAAGAACACCGGUGGCGAAGGCGGCCAACUGGUCCGGAACUGACGCUGAGGCGCGAAAGCGUGGGGAGCAAACAGGAUUAG
rnacentral:rRNA from 1 species